rnacentral:rRNA from 1 species
GAUGAACGCUGGCGGCGUGCCUAAUACAUGCAAGUCGAGCGAACAGACGAGGAGCUUGCUCCUCUGACGUUAGCGGCGGACGGGUGAGUAACACGUGGAUAACCUACCUAUAAGACGGGGAUAACUUCGGGAAACCGGAGCUAAUACCGGAUAAGAUAUUGAACCGCAUGGUUCAAUAGUGAAAGACGGUUUUGCUGUCACUUAUAGAGGGAUACGGGCCGCAUUAGCUAGUUGGUAAGGUAACGGCUUACCAAGGCAACGAUGCGUAGCCGACCUCAGAGGGUGAUCGCCCACCCUGGAGCUGGGCCACGGUCCAGGCUCCUACGGGAGGCCGCAGUAGGGAACCUUCCGCAGUGGGCGAGAGCCUGACGGAGCAACGCCGCGUGAGUGAUGAAGGUCUUCGGAUCGUAAAACUCUGUUAUUAGGGAAGAACAAAUGUGUAAGUAACUAUGCCCGUCUUGACGGUACCUAGUCAGAAAGCCACGGCUAACUACGUG